AAGGUGUUGCUCUUUGUUUCCUACAGGUAAAAAUCAUCUCACUUCUAUUACAAAAAGCAGUUGACUUUGAACGCUGAAACAUUAUAAUUCACUGAGUUAUCAAUGAUUCUACAGAGAUAUGUUGAGGCAGCCAAUGCCUUUUUACGAAGGAGUAAAGCAAAGAGAUCAGUGAUGAGUUCAGGUUUGUUUGAAACCCUCAUUAUGUUUUGGUUUUUUUUUUUCCUAUCGUUUUUCAAGAUACUGUCUUUUCUUUCUUCUACAGAGAAGUUGUAGAUGCUCAAAAGAAAGUUUCCCGGUAAGGGAAAGAUUAAGGCCAAACCAUAAGAUCUUCUAGAGAAGGCUCUUUUUAGUAUAUGUAUGAAGUUUUGAUAUUGCUUCUUACCUUGGUCUCUCCCAUGACAUUGUUGCCUAUCUUUACUUACACGUACUAAAAACUUCAGGCAUAAAAUUUUGUUUGUGCUCUGAUUUUGUCAUUGUGUUUGGAUUUACAAUUUUGAUUUUUAAAAAUUGUAAACAAUGAUUUUAUUUGUUAUACUUAACAUUUUCUUUUUGCCACCAAAAAUCUAAUCUACUAAACCG
rnacentral:lncRNA from 1 species